GGCUUUAUAGUCAAAAUAUAUGAUUUUAGAUUGCAAAUCUGAGGUUAGGAUUAAUGAAUCCUUAAAGCUU
rnacentral:tRNA from 1 species